AGAAGUUCGUGGGUCAUUUAACUGUAAACGCCUAAAUUUUAAGAGAGCCCUUACUCUUAUACAGUGAAUUUGGAGGACUGGCUUAGGACAAGGCCCUCUAUGUUCAGAAUGUUUAUCACUUUUCUCUCUUUUUUUUUUUUUUUUUUGACAACGAAGUUUCGCUCUUGUUGCCCAUGCUGGAGUGCAGGGGCGCGAUCUGCCCGUCUAAUUUUUGUAUUUUUAGUAGAGAUGGGGUUUCACCAUGUUGGCCAGGCUCUCAAACCCCUGACCUAGUGAUCCUCCCGCCUCUGCCGCCCAAAUUCCUGGGAUUGCAGUAGUGAGCCACCGCGCCCGGCCUAUUUUUUUCAGUCUUAUCUUCUCUACCUCACCACCUCACAGUAAAGCAUAUAGGUUCGACAACAUCACCAAGGACCAAACAUUGUGGUAGAUGUACAUGCAAUGUACAUGCAGAGUACAGGUUGAUGCCUGAAUAAAGAGAUGCUGGGUGAGUGUCUGAACCUAGAUGACAUGGAGGAGUCCUGCAGAAAAUAUUUGCUAUUGAAUUCAAAGGUCUAUAGAGAGUUCUCAACUAAUGAAAAAUCAUUGCAUUAUCUUGAGAGCAAUAGCAAUGAUCAUGCCAACAGUAAUUCAGACUGUGUCAUAAGUUGGGUCACACAGUCCCUAUUUUCAAACUUUGUGGAUGUCUGUCAACUGGCAGUGAAUUGUAUUCAGGAGAAAAGAAGUCUAAAGGAAUGACAGGCAUUUCAUCAGCAACUCCAGGAUGGCAGGCCGUUAUCCUGAAACCUAUCAGAACAGCUCCUGCUUGGCUUCCAAAAUAUCACAAUUUUGGAAAUGUACAAAGGUUGAAGAGUGCUCUGGCUGUAGAGGGUCCCCACGAUCUGUCAUCUAGUAACUCACCAGAUACAUAAGAUAUUUUGCCUGCUAUGAAGCCAUUGGAGAAUCAGGUCCAGCUGUGUCCUACAGAUUUAUACCCUCACUUUGGAUGCACUGUGAAUCUUGAAACAAUUCAUUUUAUACUUAACCCUUUAAGUAUAAAGUAUAUACUUCAAGUAUAAAGUGUAAGGUUGCUUCAUUUCAUGGGCCCACCCAGGAUUUAAAGGUGUAUUCCCUGAAAGAAUUGGUUCCUUCCGGUGGGUUCCUGGCUGACUUCAAGAAUGAAGCUGCAGACACUUAUGGACUGGGAGGAGGCCCACGAGAAAAACAGGAAGAACAAGAGAAAGGCUGAGGCUCUAGUGGCUGCUUUGCAGACUUGCAGAGUCCAGGAUCCCCCAGGAACUUCCACUGAUUGCUACCUGUUACCAGUGUUAAAGCCAGGGCACUUUAAGAAGAAUUGCCCAAGCCACAAGAAAAAGCCACCUUGACCACUUUUGUGGUGAAGACCACUGGAGAUUGCACUACUGACCACCAAGACAGAGGUCAGUGAGUACGGAAUCAUUCUCACAGAUGCUCCAGCAGGACUGAUGGGUUCUGGGGCUGAAACCCCUGGUUCCAAUGGUUCAAACAUCCAUUACUGCUCAGGAGUCCUGGGUGAUAAUGGAAAUUGAAGGGAGGAGGGCAAGCCUCCCACUGGAUUCUGGAGCCAGUCUUUCUGUUCUCCUCACCAAUCCAUGCCUCUCCUCUUCCCAUGUCACAACAAUGGUGGGUGUCUUAAAAAAGACUCUAACUUGA
ensembl:lncRNA TTTY10 testis expressed transcript, Y-linked 10